AUUGAACGCUGGCGGCAUGCUUUACACAUGCAAGUCGAACGGUAACAGGUUAAGCUGACGAGUGGCGAACGGGUGAGUAAUGCAUCGGAACGUGCCCGGUCGUGGGGGAUAACGCAGCGAAAGCUGCGCUAAUACCGCAUACGAUCUGAGGAUGAAAGCGGGGGACCGUAAGGCCUCGCGCGAUCGGAGCGGCCGAUGUCAGAUUAGGUAGUUGGUGGGGUAAAGGCUCACCAAGCCGACGAUCUGUAGCUGGUCUGAGAGGACGACCAGCCACACUGGGACUGAGACACGGCCCAGACUCCUACGGGAGGCAGCAGUGGGGAAUUUUGGACAAUGGGCGCAAGCCUGAUCCAGCAAUGCCGCAUGCAGGAAGAAGGCCUUCGGGUUGUAAACUGCUUUUGUACGGAGCGAAAAGGCUCUCUCUAAUACAGGGGGCUCAUGACGGUACCGUAAGAAUAAGCACCGGCUAACUACGUGCCAGCAGCCGCCGUAAUAC
rnacentral:rRNA from 1 species